CAACCAGCACCUCAAGUGGUCAGGAUGAUUAUUGGGCCUAAAGCAUCCGUAGCCGGCUCUGUAAGUUUUCGGUUAAAUCUGUACGCUUAACGUACAGGCUGCCGGGAAUACUGCAGAGCUAGGGAGUGGGAGAGGUAGACGGUACUCGGGAGGAAGUGGUAAAAUGCUUUGAUCUCUCGAUGACCACCUGUGGCGAAGGCGGUCUACCAGAACACGUUCGACGGUGAGGGAUGAAAGCUGGGGGAGCAAACAGGAUUAGAAACCCGAGUAGUCC
rnacentral:rRNA from 1 species